rnacentral:rRNA from 1 species
GACGAACGCUGGCGGCGUGCUUAACACAUGCAAGUCGAACGGAAAGGCCCUGCUUUUGUGGUGUGCUCGAGUGGCGAACGGGUGAGUAACACGUGAGUAACCUGCCCUUGAUUUUGGGAUAACUUCAGGUAACUGGGGCUAAUACCGGAUAGGAGCUCCUGCUGCAUGGUGGGGGUUGGAAAGUUUCGGCGGUUGGGGAUGGACUCGCGGCUUAUCAGCUUGUUGGUGGGGUAGUGGCUUACCAAGGCUUUGACGGGUAGGCGGCCUGAGAGGGUGACCGGCCACAUUGGGACUGAGAUACGGCCCAGACUCCUACGGGAGGCAGCAGUGGGGAAUAUUGCACAAUGGGCGGAAGCCUGAUGCAGCAACGCCGCGUGCGGGAUGACGGCCUUCGGGUUGUAAACCGCUUUCGCCUGUGACGAAGCGUGAGUGACGGUAAUGGGUAAAGAAGCACCGGCUAACUACGUG